AUUGAACGCUGGCGGCAGGCCUAACACAUGCAAGUCGAGCGAGCGGCGGACGGGCGAGUAAUGUCUGGGAAACUGCCCGAUGGAGGGGGAUAACUACUGGAAACGGUAGCUAAUACCGCAUACCAUCAGAUGUGCCCAGAUGGGCUUAGCUUGUAGGUGGGGUAACGGCCCACCUAGGCGACGAUCCCUAGCUGGUCUGAGAGGAGGACCAGCCAACCUGGAACUGAGACACGGUCCAGACCCCUACGUGAGGCAGCAGUGGGGAAUAUUGCACAAUUGGCGCAAGCCUGAUGCAGCCAAGCCGCGUGUGUGAAGAAGGCCUUCGGGUUGUAAAGCACUUUCGGCGGGGAGGCGUUACCCGCAGAAGAAGCACCGGCUAACUCCGUGCCAGCAGCCGCGGUAAUAC
rnacentral:rRNA from 1 species